AGCUGAUAGGAACACUCCUUUGCUUGCUCCCUGACACACAUCGUGAGAAGUGAAUUGACAUUACCCACUGAAUUGGACUGACUCUAACCUCGACUCUGUGCCCAGAUUAUAGCUCCUUCCCUGCCGGCACCUUUUCACCCAGACUAGUGGUUCUCACACCUCAGGGCACACCAGAACCACUUCUGUAACUCGCCGAACCUGCACGCCUUGCGCCUCCGCACCGUAGCUCAAUUGCUGGAUCAUCGAGGAGAAAUGGAUAAAUUCCUAGAAACAAGUAAACCACUGAAACUGAAACAGGAAGAAAUAGAAAACUUGAACAGACUGAUAACCAGCAAAGAAAUUGAACCAGUAAAAACAACACAAAACGAAAACUCUCAGCCAACAAAAGUCCAGGACCAGAUGGCUUCACAGUUGGGGAACUUGAAGCCACAGGAACCCAUGAUGUUGAACUCCCGAUGUUGAAACUGCAGUUCCGGGCCACAAAUCACCAGUUUCCCCUUUUACACGUGUUACUAUAGUUGACCCUUGAACAGGACAGGUUUGACAUAUGUGGGUCCAAUUAGAGGCGUGAUUUUUUCAAUAAAUACAGUCCAGUACUA